rnacentral:rRNA from 1 species
CCGCGGUAAACGUAGGUCACAAGCGUUGUCUGGAAUUACUGGGUGUAAGGGAGCGCAGGCGGGUAUGCAAGUUGGAAGUGAAUACAUGGGCUCAACCCAUGAACUGCUUUCAAACUGUGUAUCUUGAGUAGUGCAGAGGUAGGCGGAAUUCCCGGUGUAGCGGUGGAAUGCGUAGAUAUCGGGAGGAACACCAGUGGCGAAGGCGGCCUACUGGGCACCAACUGACGCUGAGGCUCGAAAGUGUGGGUAGCAAACAGGAUUAGAUACCCCAGU